rnacentral:sRNA from 1 species
AGACAUGGCCGGCGAAGGAGAUCAGCAGGACGCUGCGCACAACAUGGGCAACCACCUGCCGCUCCUGCCUGUACCUAGGCGCUGAUAUGGAAGAAUUUCAUGGCAGGACUUUGCACGAUGACGACAGCUGUCAGGUGAUUCCAGUUCUGCCACAGGUGAUGAUGAUCCUGAUUCCCGGACAGACAUUACCUCUUCAGCUUUUUCACCCUCAAGAAGUCAGUAUGGUGCGGAAUUUAAUUCAGAAAGAUAGAACCUUUGCUGUUCUUGCAUACAGCAAUGUACAGGAAAGGGAAGCACAGUUUGGAACAACAGCAGAGAUAUAUGCCUAUCGAGAAGAACAGGAUUUUGGAAUUGAGAUAGUGAAAGUGAAAGCAAUUGGAAGACAAAGGUUCAAAGUCCUUGAGCUAAGAACACAGUCGGAUGGAAUCCAGCAAGCUAAAGUGCAAAUUCUUCCCGAAUGUGUGUUGCCUUCAACCAUGUCUGCAGUUCAAUUAGAAUCCCUCAAUAAGUGCCAGAUAUUUCCUUCAAAACCUGUCUCAAGGGAAGACCAAUGUUCAUAUAAAUGGUGGCAGAAAUACCAGAAGAGAAAGUUUCAUUGUGCAAAUCUAACUUCAUGGCCUCGCUGGCUGUAUUCAUUAUAUGAUGCUGUAAGUAACUUACCUUAAAUUUACUUUAUAUAUGGUAGGCCAUGUCAUAAUUAAGGGUCAUUAAAAAACAAAGGUUUAGUUUUUCCAGUUUCUAGUGCCUUAUAACUUAAGAUAUCGUAAGAGUGGUAGCUCACACCUGUAAUCCCAGCACUUUGGGAGGCCAAGGCAGGGGGAUUGCUUGAAGCCAGGCAUUCAAGACCAGCCUGGGCAACAUGGUGAAACCCCAUCUCUACAAAUACAAAAAUCAGCCAGGUUUGGUGGCAUGUGGCUGUAGUCCCAGCUGCUUGGGAGGCUGAGGUGGAAGGAUUGAUUGAGCCUGGGAGGUCAAGGCUGCCGUGAGCUGAGAUUGUGUCACUGUACUCCAGCCUGGACAACAGAGCAAGACUGUCUCAAAAGAAAAAAAAAAGGUAUCACAAGACUCUUUAGAGUUUUAUUAAGCAUGUGAAAUUUUGUUGGGUUGGGUGAUAGUUACAUUUAGAACAUUAAAGCAUCCAUAUUUUACAGUUUUGGUUUUUCUCUAAACAAGUAUAUUAACUUACGUCUCUUGAUCAUUAGUCUAUUAAUUAAUGCAUCCAGGAGGGUUUUUGCUCCUUAAAGUUUAACACUAGGCAUUGCCACAUUUUGCAAAACUAAGGGACAGCGUGAAAUGGUUUAAAGAAUCUGGAUUUCAGAUCAGAGACUGACUUCAGAGUCACUUACUCUGUGGGCCUGGAGCAAAUUACUUCUCCGAGGACCUAUGAAAUGGAUAUAAUGGUAGCUAUUGUACCUGGUGUGCAUAGCGGGCAUUCAAGAAAUGCUAGCCAUUUCCCCUUAAUGAAUCACUGCCCACAAAUCUGGAGUCCUGGGAAAACGCAACAACAUGCACGACACUAAAGGAAACUGCAGUUGAUCUCUGCUCUUUAGCAGCUUUUCAGCAAUUACAAAGACACAAUAUAUGAGUUUUUGCAUAUGUUUUGCAUAUGCUUGUGAAAAUUAUGUAGUAAAUAGGUGCCAAGGUAUGUAGAUAGCAAGUGCUAGUGCAAUUUAUAGGUGCCAUAAUCCCUAUGGACUGAGUCAGAAGUGGCCUAAUAGAAGGCAGAAGAGAGGCCAGUUCCAAGCAGGGGCAUAGAACAGAACAAUCUGCAAGGGAGUUGGGAGCAUAUACCGCUGGGAUAAGACAGUGAGUGAGAAAAGGCUGGAAGGCAGACAGUGCUGGGCAAAGGAGCUGGAGCUUGAUCAUUGCUGCGUAAGAAAAUGGAGGCAUUUAAACUGGGACUGAGAUGGGACUGAGUGAUUAAAUUGCUACCAAUGUUAGUUUUAAGAGUUGAAAAGCUUAAUAGUAAAUUUUAAUAAGCCCAUGAACUUGAUUAUGGCUACCUUUAUUUUAAACAAGGAGACCUUAAUGGACAGAAUCAAGAAACAGCUACGUGAAUGGGAUGAAAAUCUAAAAGAUGAUUCUCUUCCUUCAAAUCCAAUAGGUAUGAAAAGUUAGUUUCCUGCCUGGAGCCUGGGAUGUCUUGCUAUAAAAACUAGCUUUCUCAUGGAUGCGAUCCAAUUAUAUCUUCUAGAUUUUAAGACUGAUUAAAACAUUUUAAUUCUGAAAAGCAUAAUUUCCUUUGAGCAGUUGAAAAAAAUGAGUAUUUUAAAAUUAAUUGCAAUAAAAUCCUCAUAUUCUGUGAGCACUCCAAUUUUAGACAAGUUUUCCCUAAAAAGUUCAAAUUGCAGGAAGUGGCUGUCAUCCAAAAACACUUCCUGUGUAAGGACUCCUUUCCCUGUUCUUCAAGGUGCCUUUAAAAGAAGUGAGUCUAGUUCCAGGACUUGCCUUAAUUAUAGAUACUCUCUUUAUCUGUUUAUAAGGUAUAGUUUAGUUAUUUUUCUAGUCUCUUGGCAAAUAACUUCUAACAUGGAUUUGAGUUCAUGUUUAACAUAAAAGGAUUUUACCAAAAAAAGUAUAGGAAAAGCAAUGAAAUUCAGAGCUUCUGAAAAGUGUAUCUUUGACAGCUGGUAUAUUUUUGUAUUGUUUAUACUUGUAUAAAAUGUGUAACCUUAAAGAGAAGGGUUUAUUUCAAAAGGAUAUUAUCCGAUUUGUAAGUUAUCUGAUGCUUAUCUGACUCCUAAGUUUAAAACUUGAAAAACCAUGUCUUGAAGAUUUUUCUUACAGAGUAGCUGCUUGUCUUCCUAUUGAUGAUGUAUUGAGAAUUCAGCUCCUUAAAAUUGGCAGUGCUAUCCAACGACUUCGCUGUGAAUUAGACAUUAUGAAUAAAGUGAGUAAAGUGAAUAUGUUUUUGAUGCCCAUGUUUUAUUCAGGCUGGAGAACUAGGAUGCUCUGUUGGGGCCAAUGGAGCUCUGUAUAGAGUCCAGUAAUGUAGUCAUGCAAUUCAGAUUUCAAUUGGGAUCUUACAGAUAAACUCAUUGUUUUGUGUUUGUCAAAUAUGAAUACAUUUAUCAACUUAGUGAAAAAUAACUUGAUUUCUGCAUGGAAAUAUCCAAGGUUAUAUAUCACUAUUCCUUUACUCUAGAGAAGGUCAUGUAGUUUUAUGUAAAUAUGUGGCAGAUCUCAGUUUCAGUGAUUUUCGUGCUCCAUCUUUAAAAGUGUUUUUGAAUGCUUGGAAGGAAAAUGUGAUAUUCAGAGAGAGCAAUAUCUUUAUAAGUUUCUUGAUGAUCUAUGUGAUUACAUGAUAAAGUGAAUGCCAGCUUUUCCUACCAAUAAUUUUUCUCUCAAAUUUUUUAGUGUACUUCCCUUUGCUGUAAACAAUGUCAAGAAACAGAAAUAACAACCAAAAAUGAAAUAUUCAGUUUAUCCUUAUGUGGGCCGAUGGCAGCUUAUGUGAAUCCUCAUGGAUAUGUGCAUGAGACACUUACUGUGUAUAAGGCUUGCAACUUGAAUCUGAUAGGCCGGCCUUCUACAGAACACAGCUGGUUUCCUGGGUAUGCCUGGACUGUUGCCCAGUGUAAGAUCUGUGCAAGCCAUAUUGGAUGGAAGUUUACGGCCACCAAAAAAGACAUGUCACCUCAAAAAUUUUGGGGCUUAACGCGAUCUGCUCUGUUGCCCACGAUCCCAGACACUGAAGAUGAAAUAAGUCCAGACAAAGUAAUACUUUGCUUGUAAACAGAUGUGAUAGAGAGAAAGUUAUCUAACAAAUUGGUUAUAUUCUAAAAUCAGAUCUGCUUUGGAAAUUAUUGCCUCUGAUACAUACCUAGGUAAACAUAACAUUACUUGGAGGGUUGCAGUUUCUAAGUGAAACUGUAUUUGAAACUUUUAAGUAUACUUUUGGAGAGCAUGAACGGCAGUCUAGAAUACCAGAAACAUCUACUUGGGUAGCUUGGUGCCAUUAUCCUGUGGAAUCUGAUAUGUCUGGUAGUGUGUCAUUGAUGGGACAUGAAGACAUCUUUGGAAAUCAUGAGAUUAUUUCCUGCGUUAAAAAAAAAAAAAAUCUUAAAUUCCUACAAUGUGAAACUAAUAAUUUGAUCCUGCUGUAUGGGACAGCAUAUCUGUACCAGUGCUCUAAAUAACAAAAGCUAGGGUGACAAGUACAUGUUCCUUUUGGAAAGAAGCAAGGCAAUGUAUAUUAAUUAUUCUAAAAGGGCUUUGUUCCAUUUUCUUUAACUUCUCUGAGAUACUGAUUUGUAAGUUUUGAAAAUUAGUUAAAAUAUGCAGUUUUUUGAGCCCACGAAUAGUUGUCAUUUCCUUUAUAUGCCUGUUAGUAAAAAGUAGUAUUGUGUAUUUGCUCAGUAUUUGAACUAUAAGCCCAUUUAUACUGUUCCAUACAAAAGCUAUUUUUCAAAAAUUAAUUAAUUUGAACCAAAACUACUACUAUAGGGAAAAGAUGCCAAAACAUGUCCCCUCACCCAGGCUAAACGUGAUACUGUAUUAUUUUGUUCAAUGUAAAUUGAAGAAAAUCUGUAAGUAAACCUUCAGUGUGAAACUAAACAUGUUCUUUGUUCAAAUAAUGUAAAAAUAUCUACUCAUAAUUUUAAAAAGUUCUAAAAAGACUACUUUGCCACCUACCUCUUUGCUUAUAUUCAAGGGUUUUAGUGGGUCCUUCCUUCCACAUUUGUAUGAUAACUUUCGUUUUAUUGAUAUUCCUUUGCUACUUUAAAACUAAUCAAUCAAUCAAUCAGGUUAAAUGUUUACUCAAAUGUAGUAAUAGUAUGAGGCCAAAAUACAUGCCUUGAAGGUGGAGUGAAAUCAGUUGAGUAUCACAUUGCAUAUUUAUGUAAAUAGAGUAAAUGAAAAUUCAAGAAUACUUCCAUUCAGGAUAUGCCCCUGCCUUAUUUUUUCUAAGCUCUACUUUUACUACUUUACUUUAAUAAUUUUGGGUUUGUGUGACUUCACUGGUCUGGUUGUUCCUAUAGUUCUUACACUGCACUAAAACUUACUCCAAGUGGAUCCCAGAAAGUUCUUGUCAGUAGCAUAGUACAUCUCUGUAGGUUGAAAUCUAAACCAGUUGCAAUAAGUAAGUUACCUUUUCCCCCUGAAAAGUUAUAAUUUCAGUAUGUCCCAUACUGUUUACUAGCAAAUAAAAUUUUCUGAUCUGUAAAAACACACAUAUACUACUACUGAAAAUGGUUUUACACGUGACAAAACCAGACCUGACAGCCAAAUCUGCAUCCUUUCUAUACAGAAAUAGUAUGUAUUACAUGACGCUGGGUCUAAAUCUGUAUUUUGGCAGUACUUCUUUACUUAAAUAUUUCAAAGUAUUAUUUUAUAAUGCAUCUAAUUACUGACCUGUAUGCAGUCAUUUCUGAGGCUUUCUUGCAUCAUAGCCCCUGUGACAUUUCCUCUUUCUUAGAAAUAUUACACUCUACAAAAUUGUUUUAUCAAGGUCCAAAAUUACUAUUUGCUCAUAGAGUACAAAGAUUUUUAUGACUGGCUCCACAGAAAGGAAAUAAAUUAUGAAAUGUCAAUAUGGCAGCUGAAAUUAUAGCAGCUGAAAUAAACAGUUUGUAUUAUACAUUUUAUUUACCUGAUGAAA